rnacentral:rRNA from 1 species
UACAGAGGGGGCAAGCGUUGUUCGGAAUUACUGGGCGUAAAGGGCGCGUAGGCGGCCUGUUAAGUCGAACGUGAAAUCCCUGGGCUCAACCCAGGAACUGCGUCCGAUACUGGCAGGCUUGAAUCCGGGAGAGGGAUGUGGAAUUCCAGGUGUAGCGGUGAAAUGCGUAGAUAUCUGGAGGAAUACCAGAGGCGAAGGCGGCUACCUGGACAAUUGCUGACGCUCAGGCACGAAAGCGUGGGGAGCAAAAGGG